rnacentral:lncRNA from 1 species
UUUAAACUUUUUUUUUUUUUUGGAUUUUCAAAACCUGAUUCUUCUGUGUGGCCUUUGCUGCCCUAGAACUCACUCUGUAGACCAGGCUGGCCUUGAAUGCAGAGAUUUGCCUGCCUCUGCCUCCCAGGUGCUGGGAUUAAAGAUGUGCACUACACGCCUGGCCUCCUGGCAUUCACUUUGUAGACCAGGCUGGCCUCUAACUCAGAAAUCCUCCUGCCUCUGCUUCCCGAGUGCUGGGAUUAAAGGCGUGCACCACCACGCCUGGCACAACACCUGGCCUUUUAAAACACUUUUUUUUUUUAGAAGAAGAAAACAUCACUUUGUGGGGAUAGAAUACAUGUAAAAGCCAGAAUACAACUUAGAUUCAAGGGUAACAUCCCUUUUUCAUGUAUCUAUUUUUGUAUUCAUUUGAGAAAUGCCAGCUACAUUUCUUCAAGAGAAUUUUUUAAAGAUUUAUUUAUUUUAUAUAUGUGAGUAUGCUGUUGCUGUCUUUAGACACACCAGAAAAGGACAUCUGUAAUGGGAUCCGAUGCCACUUUCUGGUGUGUCUGAAGACAGCUAAAGUGUACUUACAAACAUAAAACUUUUUUUAAAAAAUCUAAAAAGAAAGGAGGGGGUGUAGGAGAGAUGAUUUAACAGUUUAGAACAUUGACUACUCUUCCAGAAAACCAAGUUUGCUUCUCUUCACCCACAUGGCAACAUACAACCAUCUGUAACUCCAGGUAUGGAAGAUUCAAUGCUCUGUUCUGGCCUGCACCAGCACCAGGCACACAUGUGGUAUAUAUGCAUGCACACAAAACACACAGAAAUGUAAAAAGAAAAUCUUGGAAAGGGCUGGAGAUGUGGCUCAAUUAGUAGAGCACUUACUUAUGUGUGAGAUCUUGAGUGCCUAGGUUUAAAAUCCAGCUCUAAAAACAAACAAAGCAAGAAAUAGAAAAAAAAAUUACUCGAAUAAAGAGGACUUCCCCUAACCUAGGGAUUAAUUAGUAUUUGUUUUUCAAGACAAAGUUUCUCUAACCCUUAACUGUCCUGAAACUCAAUCUGUAUAGACCAGGCUGCCUUCAAACUCAGAGGUCCUAUCUGCUUUUGGGUUUUGUUUUGUUUUGUUUUUGUUUUUGUUUUUUCUAUUCUUUUUUUCUUUUUCUUUUUUCUUUUUUUCUUUUUUUUUUGGAAAGGGUUCCUCUGUAUAGCCCUGGCUACCCUGGAACUCACUCUGUAGACUAGGCUGGCCUCGAACUGAGAAAUCCUGCCUCUCCUUUCCGAAUGCUGAUAUUGAAAGCAUACACCACCACCGCCUGGCUACUUUUUUGUUUGUUUAUGUAUCUGUUUAUGUGUUUAUUUAUUUAUUUAAAAUUUGAGAGAAGUUCUCACAUAGUUCAAGCCGGCCUCCAACUCCUUAUGUAGUCAAAACUGGCUUUGACUUCCUUAUUCUCUUAUCUCCAAGUCACAGACAGAUACCACAUAUGUGGAUAAGUUUAUUGCUUUUAACUAAACAGGUAUAUACUUAUGAUUUCAUUAAACAGGAAUAUUCAGCCAAGCACAAAUGUAUAUUCAAAGAAAUCCGUUUAUAGUUGCAAAUUUUUAAUAAUGUUUAACUGGACAAGGAUAUUGCCCAGCCACUGCUGCUGCCAUACCUCCCUGGCAAAUACCAGGAUGUAUUGGACUAGAAUAGAAGCUGACAUGUUUUUCUUUCUAGUUUUUAGAUGCUGCCAAAUUAAAAAGGCUGUAUCAAUCAGAGAGACACAAUUUCCCAACAUCUUUGUUGACAGGAGACUUAUUUGUUUUUUGUUUUGUUUUGUUUUGUUUUUUUUCAAGACAGGGUUUGUGUAGCCCUGGCUGUCCUGGAACUCACUCUGUAGACCAGGCUGGCCUUGAACUCAGAAAUCCACCUGCCUCUGCCUCCCAAGUGCUGGGAUCAAAGGCGUGCGCCACCACGCCCAGCUUUUUGUUUUUCUGUUUUUUUUUUCAUAUUUGUUUAUUUAAUGUAUGUGAGUACACUAUCAUAUUUUAAUAUAUCAUAUUAUAUAUUUUUCAGAUAAACCAGAGGAGGGCAUUGUAUCCCAUUACAGAUGGUUGUAAGCCACCAUGUAGUUGCUGGGAAUUGAACUCAGGACCUUCUGGAAGAGCAGUCAGUCCUAUUAACUGCUGAGCCAUCUCUCCAGCCCGACAGGAGAUAUUUAAAAAUAUUUACUUAGUCUCUAUGUGUGUGUGUGUGUGUGUGGGGGGGGGUGGCUCCCAGGUGCCAGAGCAUGGGUGUGGAGGUCAGAAGACAACUUGUAAGAAGAAAUCUGUUCUGUCUUCUACCACGUGAGUUCCUGUGAUUGAUCAGGUUGUGUGAGACUGAGCCACCUUCCUCAUCUAACAAACACAUCCCCCCCCAACAAACACUCUUAAAUACUCUUCUUAUAUGUUCUUCCUGUGAGGCCAAAUAAAUAGUGCAUUAGUUCCCUAGGGUGCUGUAGCAAAUUGCCACAAACUAGACAUCUUAAAACAGAAUUCUUUCUGAUAAUUUUCUAGGCUACAAGUCACAAAUCAGGGUUUUGAUGGAGCCGAGUUUGCUCUGAGGGAACUAGGAGAGAAUUGGUUCCUGCUUUUCCUCUCCUGGUGGUGUCAGAAAUCUUUGUGUAUUGGCAUGUAGCUGCAUCACUGCAGUCUUUCUUUAUAUGGCUUUCUUCCCUGUCUGCCUCUAUGUUUUCCUCUCUUGCCUAGUGUGGUGGCAUGUAGCAUUUAGAAGAGGUGGAAACAUGAGGACCAGGAAUUCCAAGUCAUUAUUGCCUGUGUAGUGAGUUUGAGGCCACCCCAGGUUAUGUGAGCCCAUCACAAAUAAACAAAAAGUAAGUAAAUAUAUUUCUCUCUUUAUAAUGACCAGUCAUCAGGUUAUGGCUCAUCCUUCCAUAUUGUGACAUUAACCAUCAGUGUGAGUUUAUUAUAAACUGAUUACAUGUUCAAACACCCUGUUUCCAAAUUAAGAUGCAUGUACAACUUUGUGGGGGGCAUGAAUUUGGGUCAAACACUAAUUAAACAAUACAUAUUUAAACAAUACACUGUAAAUACACUGUAAAAAUCAUACAUCAGUUAGAGUAGUAGUUCAGUUGUUUUACCACAAUUAAAAAAAAUGUUUAUUU